GGGUGCGAUCAUACCAGCACUAAUGCACCGGAUCCCAUCAGAACUCCGCAGUUAAGCGUGCUUGGGCGAGAGUAGUUACUAAGUUGGGUGACCACUUGGGAAGUCCUCGUGUUGCACCCC